AUCUUUCCAGUUCAUGAAAAUGAUGAUCGGUGCGUUCACGGUCCAUCCGUGACAGGUGCGGCCUCACCUUGUUACGCUCUGCGCCUCAGCCCUUCUGAUC